AUGGCCUCCUGGCUGUGCCUUUGGGACAGAAAGAGGAAAUCCUAGGAGCCCCUUUUUGAUGGGCUGGAGGGGCAGAGGCCUGUAGCCCCCGAUUCCUGGGCCUCAUCCAACCCCAGGCCGAGACGUGGGACCUGUCUGGCCAGAGCUGGUGGAGUUGACCCCACCAACGGGGCCCCUGCCGCAGUCACCGACCAGUCCUUCAGAAGCAGCCGACCCUUCUGACUGAGCCCCAUCCUCGCCCCGAGCUGAGUCCUGAUCCAAGCUAUAGACUGAUCUGUAAUCCCAGCUGUAGACUGAGCCCUGACUUGCAGCAGACUGGCUCCUGUUCCCAGGCUGUCUUCCCAGCCAGCCCUGAGAGGUGGAGAGAGCCCGCCCCACUUCGUGGAAGAGGAACCUGGAUGAGAAAACUAGGGCACCCCCAAAUCCCCUCGCCUCGGCUUCGCACCUUCAGGGGAGAAGAAACAGUUUCCCGGGCAGCACCAGGACCUGUGGCAUCCCUGACCCUCAGCACAGACUGGACGACCAGGAGGAGACUGGCCCCUGGGACAAGACCUCAGAAGAUUUCCAGCAGCUUCUUUCUGGGCAAACAAAGGCCCUGCUGACCAUAUGCUGUUGCUCUGAUUUGUUUGGGCUGGGACUGCCAGGACGGGCGUACCCCACUCCGCCCACCUCCACGCAACACAAGCACUCCUGAGCCUGUGGAGGCCUCCCUACUCAGGGCUCUCACAACCCCAAACUUCCCCACCAGACCAAGCUCCCUCCCAGGCUGCCUACAGGUGGGAAUCCACACCGUGGGUGGGGGGGCGUCUCAGCUCAUCCCCCAGGGGAGAAGUCUAGCGGAUACGCUGCCUGGCUCCAGCCCAGGAGGGAGGAGGACAAGUGUUAGCUCCCCGAGGCAUGGCCUCCUCCCCAGGGCCCCCAACCCAAAUCCCUCCCUCAGGGAUAAAGGCACCCGCCACAGCAGAGGGGGGGUCCCACGGGCUCUGCCCUGCCUCUCCUGAGCCCUAAGCCCCCAGACUCUUCCCCCUUCCCCUGCCCUGCCCCUCCCUGGCUGGGCCGGGUCCCACUGUUAUCCUACCCCAGCCCAGAGGAGGGGGAAGGCCAUGUGCCCUGUCCCCUAUUGCGGGACCAGGGACCACUCUGUGGUGUCUGAGCCUCUUACCUGGCAGGUGCAGUCCUUGUCUCAGCCCUUGUCUCCAGGCCCCGCCCCUCCCCAGGGUGAUUAAUAAAAGACUACGGAACAUGAAAACA
rnacentral:lncRNA from 1 species